AGGUAGGCGGAAUGCGUGGUGUAGCGGUGAAAUGCAUAGAUAUCACGCAGAACUCCGAUUGCGAAGGCAGCUUACUAAACCAUAACUGACACUGAAGCACGAAAGCGUGGGGAUCAAACAGGAUUAGAUACCCUGGCAGUCCACGCAGUAAACGAUGAUUACUAGGAGUUUGCGAUAGACAGUAAGCUCUACAGCGAAAGCGUUAAGUAAUCCACCUGGGGAGUACGCCGGCAACGGUGAAACUCAAAGGAAUUGACGGGGGCCCGCACAAGCGGAGGAACAUGUGGUUUAAUUCGAUGAUACGCGAGGAACCUUACCCGGGUUUGAACGCAUUUGGACCGGCCUUGAAAGAGGUCUUCUAGCAAUAGCCAUUUGCGAGGUGCUGCAUGGUUGUCGUCAGCUCGUGCCGUGAGGUGUCGGCUUAAGUGCCAUAACGAGCGCAACCCUUAUCACUAGUUACUAACAGGUCAUGCUGAGGACUCUGGUGAGACUGCCAGCGUAAGCUGUGAGGAAGGUGGGGAUGACGUCAAAUCAGCACGGCCCUUACAUCCGGGGCGACACACGUGUUACAAUGGCAUGGACAAAGGGCAGCUACCUGGCGACAGGAUGCUAAUCUCCAAACCAUGUCUCAGUUCGGAUCGGAGUCUGCAACUCGACUCCGUGAAGCUGGAUUCGCUAGUAAUCGCGCAUCAGCCAUGGCGCGGUGAAUACGUUCCCGGGCCUUGUACACACCGCCCGUCAAGCCAUGGGAGCCGGGGGUACCUGAAGUCCGUAACCGCGAGGAUCGGCCUAGGGUAAAACUGGUGACUGGGGCUA
rnacentral:rRNA from 1 species